rnacentral:rRNA from 1 species
CAGCAGCCGCGGUAAUACGAAGGGUGCAAGCGUUAAUCGGAAUUACUGGGCGUAAAGCGUGCGUAGGCGGUGAGUUAAGUCUGCUGUGAAAUCCCCGGGCUCAACCUGGGAAUGGCAGUGGAUACUGGCUCGCUAGAGUGUGUCAGAGGAUGGUGGAAUUCCCGGUGUAGCGGUGAAAUGCAUAGGGAUCGGGAGGAACAUCAGUGGCGAAGGCGGCCAUCUGGGACAACACUGACGCUGAGGCACGAAAGCGUGGGGAGCAAACAGGAUUAGAUACCCGCGUAGUCCCUGUCUCUUAUAC